rnacentral:tRNA from 1 species
UUCUCUGUGGUGUAACUGGCAGCACAACAGGCCCUGACCCUGUCAGCCCUGGUUCGACCCCAGGCAGAGAAG